rnacentral:lncRNA from 1 species
GCCGGUAAGCACGAAUUCAAAAAGUAUCUCAAAAUUUUUCUUUUCUUAUACUUAUAUAAGUCUAUUUAAUUAUUUGUAAAAUUUAUUUUCAACUCACUAUUUGAAUCCGAGGUUCUAGUAUACCAUACCUAGGAUAAAUAUGAAUAAUAAGCUUCUCAAUGCUCUCUGUAAUGUGAUAUAUACGAUGGUGCCUGAUUCAAAAAUCGCAUCU